AGAAAGAAAGUAGAGAGAUCCAAAAUGAGGGACACCCUGUAUAUGUUCACUUGUACGAUGGUGUACGACCUUCAACUACGUGACACGUAACAGGCUAGACGAAUUGUGUUAUGUCUCGUUGCGUUGCAUUUUUAUGCUUGUCAGCUGGUUUAUGAAUGGUUGAGAAUGCCGAGAAGAUUUGUUUCAGAUGUAAUAUGAUAAUGCUAAUAUAAGGAUAAUGCCGAGUUUGAAGUAGUAACGAGACUUUGAUGGAAAGAAAAUUGGAGGUUAUGUAACGGGAGAAAGGAAAUUUUAUUUUUGUUUGAAACAAUAUAUCAUUAAAUUGGACGUAUGAUCUUUCCCGUGGAAAUACGAUUAUUAUAUAAAUAGAUACAAUUAUUAAAAGGAGGUUAUCGUAUAAGUUCCAAUUACGUAUUUGCAGAGAAAAGAAAUAAUAAAAACGACGAAGACAAUUGAAAAUUCAUAAAAAUAACAGAUACAUGGCUUUCGUACAUGA